UACGUAGGGACCAAGCGUUGUUCGGAUUUACUGGGCGUAAAGGGCGCGUAGGCGGCGCAACAAGUCACUUGUGAAAUCUCCGGGCUUAACCCGGAGCGGUCAAGUGAUACUGUCGUGCUAGAGUGCGGAAGGGGCUACUGGAAUUCUCGGUGUAGCGGUGAAAUGCGUAGAUAUUGGGAGGAACACCAGUGGCGAAGGCGGCUCGCUGGACCGGUUCUGACGCUGAGGCGCGAAAGCGUGGGGAGCAAACAGG
rnacentral:rRNA from 1 species